rnacentral:rRNA from 1 species
UACGUAGGGUGCGAGCGUUGUCCGGAAUUAUUGGGCGUAAAGAGCUCGUAGGCGGUCUGUCACGUCGGCUGUGAAAACACGGGGCUCAACUCCGUGCCUGCAGUCGAUACGGGCAGACUAGAGUUCGGUAGGGGAGACUGGAAUUCCUGGUGUAGCGGUGAAAUGCGCAGAUAUCAGGAGGAACACCUGUGGUGUAGACGGCUUUCUGGACCAUAGCUGACGCUGAGACACGAAAGCGUGGGUAGCAAACAGG